GAUGAAGAACGCGGCAAAAUGCGAUAAGUAAUGUGAAUUGCAGAAUUCAGUGAAUCAUCGAAUCUUUGAACGCACAUUGCGCCCGCCAGUAUUCUGGCGGGCAUGCCUGUUCGAGCGUCAUUUCAACCCUCAAGCACAGCUUGGUGUUGGGACUCGCGUUAAUUCGCGUUCCCCAAAUUGAUUGGCGGUCACGUCGAGCUUCCAUAGCGUAGUAGUAAAACCCUCGUUACUGGUAAUCGUCGCGGCCACGCCGUUAAACCCCAACUUCUGAAUGUUGACCUCGGAUCAGGUAGGAAUACCCGCUGAACUUAAGCAUAUCAAUAAGCGGAGGA
rnacentral:misc_RNA from 1 species